AACGAACGCUGGCGGCAUGCCUAACACAUGCAAGUCGAACGAGACCUUCGGGUCUAGUGGCGCACGGGUGCGUAACGCGUGGGAACCUGCCCUUAGGUUCGGAAUAACUCCCCGAAAGGGGUGCUAAUACCGGAUAAUGUCUUCGGACCAAAGAUUUAUCGCCUUUGGAUGGGCCCGCGUUGGAUUAGCUAGUUGGUAGGGUAAAAGCCUACCAAAGCGACGAUCCAUGGCUGGUCUGAGAGGAUGAUCAGCCACACUGGGACUGAGACACGGCCCAGACUCCUACGGGAGGCAGCAGUGGGGAAUAUUGGACAAUGGGCGAAAGCCUGAUCCAGCAAUGCCGCGUGAGUGAUGAAGGCCUUAGGGUUGUAAAGCUCUUUUACCCGGGAUGAUAAUGACAGUACCGGGAGAAUAAGCUCCGGCUAACUCCGUG
rnacentral:rRNA from 1 species